CUUACCCCGAACGGCACAGGUGGACGGAGCGCCUUCUCCGUCUGAAUAGGGAAGCCGGUGACCCGCCGGCCCUCCGGGGCCAGGGCGGGGACUCCGGCGCGGUCCCGCCGCUGUAACGGGGAGCGCGGCCCACGCACGCCACUGGGCGCAGAGGUCGUUUCGGCCUCCGGCCUGGGAAGGCCGGCCGCGCGAGGAACCGGAGCCAGAAGACCUGCCUGUGCCGCCGCACUCAC
rnacentral:ncRNA from 1 species